AUUGAACGCUGGCGGCAUGCCUUACACAUGCAAGUCGAACGGCAGCAUAGGAGCUUGCUCCUGAUGGCGAGUGGCGAACGGGUGAGUAAUAUAUCGGAACGUGCCCUAGAGUGGGGGAUAACUAGUCGAAAGACUAGCUAAUACCGCAUACGAUCUACGGAUGAAAGUGGGGGCUCGCAAGACCUCAUGCUCCUGGAGCGGCCCAUAUCUGAUUAGCUAGUUGGUGGGGUAAAAGCCUACCAAGGCGACGAUCAGUAGCUGGUCUGAGAGGACGACCAGGCACACUGGGACUGAGACACGGCCCAGACUCCUACGGGGGGCAGCAGUGGGGAAUUUUGGACAAUGGGGGCAACCCUGAUCCAGCAAUGCCGCGUGAGUGAAGAAGGCCUUCGGGCUGUAAAGCUCUUUUGUCAGGGAAGAAACGGUAGUAGCUAAUAUCUAUUACUAAUGACGGGACCUGAAGAAUAAGCACCGGCUAACUACGUGCCAGCAGCCGCAGUAA
rnacentral:rRNA from 1 species